CCUACGGGAGGCAGCAGUGAGGAAUAUUGGACAAUGGGCGGGAGCCUGAUCCAGCCAUGCCGCGUGCAGGAUGACGGCCCUAUGGGUUGUAAACUGCUUUUAUACGGGAAGAAAUGCGCCCACGUGUGGGCGUCUGACGGUACCGUAAGAAUAAGGACCGGCUAACUCCGUGCCAGCAGCCGCGGUAAUA
rnacentral:rRNA from 1 species